rnacentral:rRNA from 1 species
AGGAUGAACGCUGGCGGCGUACCUAACGCAUGCAAGUCGAACGGACCCUGUGUAGCAAUACGUGGGGUGAGUGGCAAACGGGUGAGUAUCACGUGGGCAUCUACCUCGAAGUGGGGAAUAACGAGCCGAAAGGUUCGCUAAUACCGCAUACGAUCGAGAGAUGAAAGGUGUAGUAAUACACCGCUUUGAGCGGAGCCUGCGGUCGAUCAGGUAGUUGGUGAGGUAACGGCUCACCAAGCCUCUGACCGAUAGCUGAUCUGAGAGGAUGACCAGCCACACUGGCACUGCGAGACGGGCCAGACUCCUACGGGAGGCAGCAGCGAGGAAUAUUGCACAAUGGAGGCAACUCUGAUGCAGUAAACGCCGCGUGGGGGAAGAAGACCUCGGUGUAACUACUUUUGUUAGUCGACGAGUGAGGACGGUAGGCUAUAGAAAUACAGUCUCGGCUAACUAACUGCCACGUAGCCGC